rnacentral:lncRNA from 1 species
CUGUCACGGGUAGAGGUGCCAGCACGAGUGGAGGGGUGAGAAGAUCUUGAAGGCUGAGAAGCAAAAGACUAAGCUAUAAGAGAGAGUCUGAUGGUGUCCAGAAGGUUCAAAGCUCUCGAAACAGAUUGUAGCAGUGUAGUGAACUGAGUGGAAGCAUGCUCACUAGAGCCCCUGAUCUCUCUCCUCAGAAAGUUAAAAUCACUCUCUAAGACUCCUUGCAGUCUGGCUGCCUCCGCAGAUAGGUCUGAGACCUUAGUGAUAUCCUCAUGUGGUGUGGAUGGGCUAGAGCUAGCACUUACCUCUGCAAGUCAAAUACUCUGCCAGU